GGCAGAGGGCAGCGGCUCUCGGGCCGCACUUCUCACACCGGGAGCCGGGCCAGACCCGCCUUGCACGCACGCCCGGAGCUCCCGCCUCCUUGGCUCCUUGCUCCCGGGCCGGCUGCUGGACGGGGCGGCACGGAGUGGGGGGGGGGCAGCCUGAGCGCAGUGCUCCCGGGAUCACCUUGGUCUGAAGCCCUUGGCCUUGCCUCCCACGCCGAGGGCAAGAGAACAGGAGAGCCGGGCCUCCCACACCUUCCCCAGGGGACGGAAGCUAAAGACGCUGGGCGGCCGCGGGCUUCCCCGAGACACUGCCCGCCGGUGGGAAGCACAUCUGACCCUAGGGAGGCAGCUCCCCAGCCUGCAGGCGUGACCCUGCAAGCAGCGGAGCUGGAGAGGAGAGGCGGGAGAGGACAGGGUGGCCAGGGAGAGGCUGGCAGGAGGAGGCCAGAGCCAGAGGCAGGAGGGCCCUGGCUACUGUUCCCAGAUGCUCCCUCGGGGCCGCGAGCCGCGAGCCUCUACAGGCCCGAUCCCCGCAGCAGCCGCAACAGCCACACCCCGGACGUCCUGGCCAAGCACACGUCAGUGUGGGUCAGUGCGGGGCGGCGUGCGGGAAGGCGCCGCGCUCCCCUAUGCACAGAGCGUCACCACCACCUGGAAUCAGUGUUUCUGUCCAGGACCACCACAGCCUGGCUUGUCUGCGCUGCUGCAGAAGCCAGUGGGGCUGCGGCCUGGAGUCCUCACCUUGCUUCUUACGUGCCAAAUCCUCGCUUAAUUAUGAAAACCAAACCAAACACCUUUCUCCCUUACCCGGAAGAGUGCAUUUUUGCCUGCACCGGAUCAUCGGAAAACGUGAGCGACCCCUCCGCCUCCUGAACUGAACUGGGGCCUCAUUUUGCAGAGCAAGCAGGCCCACUGCAUCUCCAGCUUAGAUGCUGAAGGGUUCCCCUCUCACAAAAGCACUUGUCUCUCAUUAAAUGCCGAGCGUUUGUUACGGCAUUACCUGCAGACAGGUCUCCACUGCCCUAAUAGGCAUGAUCUUUAGGAAAGAUCCUUUGGCUUCUGUAUAAGACCAAAGACGUGAUUAAUAUUGGCCCCAUUUAGCUGUGGGUCUAAAUGAGGCUACAGUGAACUCUUCUUUGCAUGAUCACAAUUUAUAAUUUCCUAAAAUUUAUGGCCCUUUCUCCUGUGUUGUUAACAUGUCUGGUUGUUGCAAUUCACUCGGUCUGUCCUGUUUUUUUGUUUGUUUGUUUGUUUAAAUCUGGUUCUAAGAAACAAUCAGUAAAUAUCCCAAUCAUAUUUGCUAUAAAAUCAGCAGUGAUAAAUAGACAAUAAUAUUUCACUGGAAGGCACAAGGAUGUUUAUUUAGCAUCUUUAUAGAUGCAAAGCUCCCCCUGCAGAAAUCCUACGAGAGAAACCUGUGCUCUGAACACCUUUAGACAUGCUGCCUCCUUUAAGAAGACGGGAAAGUUGCUCCCGGGCCCAGAUGCUGUUCUGGUGUCAAGGACGGAACAAAAGAAUAGUCAAAGCAGAGAGUAGGGCCAAGAAUCCAGGAGUGAAAUCUUUAACCAGGAUGGAAAGGUUGGCGGGUCUGACCUUGUGCCCGCAGAGCAGUGCCAGGAUCUGAGAGGGAGGGCCUGACACUAGGGGCUCCUUAGGGAUCUUUAGUAAGUGUCACCCCAAGUCCAGACUUUUCUUUAAGCUUUAGAAUUGUUGCUGCAGAUGCUUUUUUUUUUUUUAAAAAAGAUUUAUUUAUUUAUUUAUUUUUGAUGGACAGAGAGAGAGAGAGAGAGGCAGAGACACAGGCAGAGGGAGAAGCAGGCUCCAUGCAGGGAGCCCGAUGUGGGACUCGAUCCCGGGACUCCAGGAUCACACC
rnacentral:lncRNA from 12 species